AUAAAAUUAAAUAAUUUAUUUAAAAAAUAAUUUUAAUUUAUUUAAAUUUAGUAAUUAAUAUUAAAAAUUUAAGAAAUUAAGAUUUAGUAAUAUGUUGUAAUAAAUUAAUAACAAAUUUUGUGCCAGCAGUUGCGGUUAUACAAAAAUUAAAUUAAAUUUUUUUAGUUAUUAAUAAUUAAAAUUUAAUUUAUAAUUAAAAAUAAAAAUUAUUAAGUGAAAUUUUAAUUUUUAUUAUUUUAUUUAAAUAUUUUUUAUAAUUUAAUAAAUUUUAUUAUAAAACUAGGAUUAGAUACCCUAUUAUUUAAAAAUUUAAAUUUUAAAUACUAAAAUAGUAUAUAAUUAAUUAUUGAAACUUAAAUAUUUUGGCGGUAUUUUAGUUUAUUUAGAGGAAUCUGUUUAUUAAUUGAUAAUCCACGAAUAAUUUUACUUAAUUUAUUAUUUUGUAUAUCGUUGUUAAAAAAAUAUUUUUUAAUAAUUUACAAUAUUUUAAAAUUAUAAUUUAAAUUUAAAUCAAAUCAAGAUGCAGAUUAUAAUUAAGAAUAUAAUGGAUUACAAUAAAUUUAUUUAAAUGAAUUUUAUUUUGUAAUAUUUAAAUGAAAGUGGAUUUAAAUGUAAUUUUAUUUAAUUUUAUAAAAUGAUUAAAAAUUAAAAUAUGUACAUAUUGCCCGUCACUUUCAUAAAUAAAUUGAAAUAAGUCGUAACAAAGUAGAGGUACUGGAAAGUGUUUCUAGAAAGAA
rnacentral:ncRNA from 1 species